rnacentral:rRNA from 1 species
UACGGAGGGGGUUAGCGUUGUUCGGAAUUACUGGGCGUAAAGCGCGCGUAGGCGGAUUAGAAAGUUGNGGGUGAAAUCCCGGGGCUCAACCCCGGAACUGCCUCCAAAACUACUAGUCUAGAGUUCGAGAGAGGUGAGUGGAAUUCCGAGUGUAGAGGUGAAAUUCGUAGAUAUUCGGAGGAACACCAGUGGCGAAGGCGGUUCACUGGCUCGAUACUGACGCUGAGGUGCGAAAGUGUGGGGAGCAAACAGG